UACGUAGGUCCCGAGCGUUGUCCGGAUUUAUUGGGCGUAAAGCGAGCGCAGGUGGUUUAUUAAGUCUGGUGUAAAAGGCAGUGGCUCAACCAUUGUAUGCAUUGGAAACUGGUAGACUUGAGUGCAGGAGAGGAGAGUGGAAUUCCAUGUGUAGCGGUGAAAUGCGUAGAUAUAUGGAGGAACACCCGUGGCGAAAGCGGCUCUCUGGCCUGUAACUGACACUGAGGCUCGAAAGCGUGGGGAGCAAACAGG
rnacentral:rRNA from 1 species